rnacentral:rRNA from 1 species
AGUCGAACGGAGAGGCCCUGCUUGCAGGGUACUCGAGUGGCGAACGGGUGAGUAACACGUGGGUGAUCUGCCCUGCACUUCGGGAUAAGCCUGGGAAACUGGGUCUAAUACCGGAUAGGAGCCAUUUUUAGUGUGAUGGUUGGAAAGUUUUUUCGGUGUAGGAUGAGCUCGCGGCCUAUCAGCUUGUUGGUGGGGUAAUGGCCUACCAAGGCGGCGACGGGUAGCCGGCCUGAGAGGGUGGACGGCCACAUUGGGACUGAGAUACGGCCCAGACUCCUACGGGAGGCAGCAGUGGGGAAUAUUGCACAAUGGGCGCAAGCCUGAUGCAGCGACGCCGCGUGGGGGAUGACGGCCUUCGGGUUGUAAACUCCUUUCGCUAGGGACGAAGCUUUUUGUGACGGUACCUAGAUAAGAAGCACCGGCUAACUACGUGCCAGCAGCCGCGGUAAUACGUAGGGUGCGAGCGUUGUCCGGAAUUACUGGGCGUAAAGGGCUCGUAGGUGGUUUGUCGCGUCAUCUGUGAAAUUCCGGGGCUUAACUCCGGGCGUGCAGGCGAUACGGGCAUAACUUGAGUACUGUAGGGGUAACUGGAAUUCCUGGUGUAGCGGUGAAAUGCGCAGAUAUCAGGAGGAACACCGAUGGCGAAGGCAGGUUACUGGGCAGUUACUGACGCUGAGGAGCGAAAGCAUGGGUAGCGAACAGGAUUA